GACCCACACGUUUCUUUUCUCUCUCCCUCCGUGCAAAAACAGAGGCAGUGACACAGCCUCUUCCCAAGGCCACUCCGCCGCCGCCCUACGAGCCCAGCCGACGAGGCUAUUACCAUCGUGACCGCCUCACUCUCCUCUUCCUACCUAAAGUCACAGAUCGUAUAUGCUAAGUAUUUUCCGACGAGCUCGAUUUCGAAGUCGAUCGAGCUGCCGUAGGACACCGGCGCGGAUAUCGACUCCGGCGAGUUUUUGGGGUAAGCUCAGUCCUCCCUUAGCCUAUUUCCCUCCAUUUCCUUGUCGAUCUGUUGAAGCCGGGCUCUAAACUCCAUCAUUUCUUUGUUUUGCUCGGCCGUGAGCUUCCGACUCUGGCGACCUCUGUUUCAUGAACCCAGGAGCUUAGGCGAGCUUGAAGGGAGACCAAGAGUGUUGUAGCAGCGGUAGAGGAUUGGUGGAGGACCUCGGACGAGCAGCAGAAGCUCCCAAAAAACGGAGCGGAGGAGCUCAGUGACGGUUGGUGGUGUUGUUCUUCGUGGAGGGACUCCCGUUACCGAGUAAUAGAAGGCUAGUCACUCUUGGAAUACGUGAGCAAUAUUUUCGGACAUCGUCAGGCUAAAGCCUUAAACUGCUCCUGAGAACCCAACUUCACCACCUCUAUCCAACACUCAAGCUGCUGCAACCGAGAGGGAAGACGUCUCUGCUCAUGCUGAAACUCAGUCACCAUCCAGGGGAAUCGCGAUUGCUACGAUCACGCAUGGGGAACCAAUUCAAGCUACUCCCCUCCACACGGCGGCGGGAACUCGGACCUUGGAGCCAACAACUGUACUCUCCCACCCUUAUUCAACUCAGAUUCUAGAGGGUGAGGUAGAAGAUGAAGAAGAUGUGACAAGCUCUCACCGAGAAGGUAAAAAUGUGGAAGAUCCCCCCGUGAACGUGGACUCAGCAAGCAAUAAUGCUGCACCAAACCCGCUUCCAGAAAACAACGCUCCCUCUACUCAAACUAAUGGGGUUGUAGACGUCGCAAACGCUUCCAACUCCCAAGUAAUUCUGACUGUUGGAACCUCUAGAUCAACACUAGUUGUUGAUCCAUUAGAAAAUCGCUCUAGUCCAUCUCUAGAAGAUCUUCUAAAUGAUAUGUUGGGUCCUGUCAUUACCUUGACACCUCUAGAAUCUCCAGAAUUCGUCCAGGCCUGAGCACAACUUGCAGAUGUAUCCGCUGAGGGUCUAGCUGAUCCGACGCGCCUGGCUAAGGUCCAAGAUGCCCUUCGCUACCUCAGACUACACUCACCUGACCCCAGCCUAGAUAUGAAGGCAGAACAAUCACUGAGAACCAUUCUAUGCCUUUUGGCAGAAUGUCAAGCUUUGAAGAACGAAUCUCGGAGUCAGUCGUAACAUAAUGCCACUGCUAGAAAUUUCAUUGCUCAAGGCCCUGCCCAACUUAAGACCAAGCUUCACCAUGCUAAGGCCAGCCGUUCGGAGCAACUUAGUGUAUUGCGGCAACAACAAGCUGCAAUAGAAGCAAAGAUAGCGGAGAUUGAAGCUGAGCAAGCUAGAGAGCUUAAGGCUGUGGAGGAAGAGAUAGGAAGUGUUGCCCCCCAAGUACAAGAGCGUAAAAGGCAAUUGGCCGCUUCUGAAACUGAGGAAAGGAGGAUCAAUAACCUUAUAUGCGACACUGGCAAACUACUUUUAGAUAUCUGCCUUGUCAAACAUAGAGUGUAACUUGAACAACGAAGUAACUUAGUAAUGGUAAUUAUAGUUUAUCUCUAUUUGAUCACUCUAUUUGACUCUCCUUGAACCAACAAAAAUCCAAGCAAAGGCCCAAGGCCAAAGCCCAGCCUAACUCGCAACUGUCUAAGUUUGCAUGCAAACUCUCGAAAAUAGGGGUAAUCAA